GUCAGAUGCAGGCCAGGCUCUCCACCACCCCAAAACUCAGAGCUUAACUCCCUGGUUAGUACAUAUCUGGAUGCACGUCAGGAAUGCAGGCAGGGCUGGAUGCACUUCCGCUCCACAUGGUGUGGAUGAGGGCCACUCCGGGGUGCUCUGUGGGCAGCUGGGCUGGUCAAAAACUUCCAGGGCGGCCUUACUUCUGCAGCUGGUGCCAUGGCGAGACAGCUGGAACGUCCCCACAGGGCCACUCUGGCACGGGGUCUCAGGGUGGCCAGGCCCCCUCCUCGGCCCCUCAGGGCUCCCAAAGUGAGUGUCUGGAGGGGCCUCUGAUGACCCAGCCACAGGGCCUCACUUUGGCCACACUCCACUGUUCAGGCAUUGCCAAGUCCAGGCAGAUGCCUGGGAGGGGAAUUAGCUCUGCCUCCUGAUGGGAGGAGAAAUGAGAGCCUCGAUAAGCAUCGAAUCAAUGAAAGAAAGAAACUCACAUGGAGGCAUUGACGCAGCAACACCAUGCAUGUUCAUCCUUCACGUGAGACACUAACAUGCCAAUACCACGCACAUUCGUCCUUCACGUGAGACACUGAUGCGCCAAUACCACACAUGUUCAUCCUUCAUGUGAGACACUGAUGUGCCAAUACCACACACAUUCAUCCUUCACGUGAGACACUAACAUGCCAACACCACACAUGUUCAUCCUUCACGUGAGACACUAACAUGCCAACACCACGCAUGUUCAUCCUUCACGUGAGACACUAACAUGCCAACACCACACACAUUCAUCCUUCACUUGAGACACUAACACGCCAAUACCACGCACGUUCAUCCUUCACGUGAGACACUGAUGCGCCAAUACCACACAUGUUCAUCCUUCAUGUGAGACAGUGAUGCGCCAAUACCACACACAUUCAUCCUUCACGUGAGACACUAACAUGCCAACACCACACAUGUUCAUCCUUCACGUGAGACACUAACAUGCCAACAUCACACAUGUUCAUCCUUCACGUGAGACACUAACAUGCCAACAUCACACACGUUCAUCCUUCACGUGAGACACUAACAUGCCAAUACCACGCACGUUCAUCCUUCACAUGAGACACAUGCCAAUACCGCGCAUGUUCAUCCUUCACGUGAGACACUGAUGUGCCAAUACCACACAUGUUCAUCCUUCAUGUGAGACACUGACAUGCCAACACCACACAUGUUCAUCCUUCACGUGAGACACUAACGUGCCAACAGCACAUAUGUCCAUCCUUCACGUGAGACACCGACAUGCCAAUACCACACACAUGCAUCCUUCACAUGAGACACUGACACGCCAAUACCACGCAGACUCAUCC
rnacentral:lncRNA from 1 species